GUGCCAGCAGCCGCGGUAAUACGGAGGAUGCGAGCGUUAUCCGGAUUUAUUGGGUUUAAAGGGUGCGUAGGCGGCUUGUUAAGCGUGAGGUGAAAGCUCGGGGCUCAACCCCGGAACUGCCUCGCGAACUGGCUGGCUUGAAUGCUCCUGCCGUGGGAGGAAUGUGUGGUGUAGCGGUGAAAUGCAUAGAGAUCACACAGAACACCGAUUGCGAAGGCAUCUCACGAAGGGGUGAUUGACGCUGAGGCACGAAAGCGUGGGGAUCAAACAGGAUUAGAUACCCUGGUAGUCCACGCAGUAAACGAUGAUGACUAACCGCUGGGGAGAAAUUUUCAGUGGCCAAGCGAAAGCGAUAAGUCAUCCACCUGGGGAGUACGACCGCAAGGUUGAAACUCAAAGGAAUUGACGGGGGCCCGCACAAGCGGAGGAACAUGUGGUUUAAUUCGAUGAUACGCGAGGAACCUUACCCGGGCUCGAACGGCAGGAGAAGAGAUCCAGAGAUGGUGACGCCCUUCGGGGCUUCUGUCGAGGUGCUGCAUGGUUGUCGUCAGCUCGUGCCGUGAGGUGUCGGCUCAAGUGCCAUAACGAGCGCAACCCUUGCCGCCAGUUACCAGCACGUCGUGGUGGGGACUCUGGCGGGACUGCCACCGCAAGGUGUGAGGAAGGGGGGGAUGACGUCAAAUCAGCACGGCCCUUACGUCCGGGGCGACACACGUGUUACAAUGGGGGUCACAGCGGGGGUCUACCUGGUGACAGGAUGGGAAUCUCGAAAAGCCUCCUCAGUUCGGAUCGGAGUCUGCAACUCGACUCCGUGAAGCUGGAUUCGCUAGUAAUCGCGCAUCAGCCAUGGCGCGGUGAAUACGUUCCCGGGCCUUGUACACACCGCCCGU
rnacentral:rRNA from 1 species